UUCACGACGCCCAAAAAGACCACAACCACAGUCGCUGGCCAGAAAGUCGUUUUCUUACGUAAAAUAAACGUGAUCGCCAAACUUCUAAUUGUAACUAAGUGUUUGUCAGUGUGAUCUUACAUGGAUAUACUCGGGGUGGAAAAAAGAUAUACAAUUACAACAACAAUACUUUGAUACUAGUGGAAGUUGCUGGCAGAGGCUUUUGAAAAGUUGUGCUUAUUUAACUUAUACCAGUGAAAAUUCUACAAAAUCCUAUUAUUUUUACAAAUAAAAGAUGCAUUCGUUUCUUUUAAAA